rnacentral:rRNA from 1 species
AUUGAACGCUGGCGGCAGGCCUAACACAUGCAAGUCGAGCGGAUGAAGGGAGCUUGCUCCUGGAUUCAGCGGCGGACGGGGGAGUAAUGCCUAGGAAUCUGCCUGGCAGUGGGGGAUAACGUCCGGAAACGGGCGCUAAUACCGCAUACGACCUGAUGGUGAAAGUGGGGGAUGUUCGGACCGCGCGCUAUCAGAUGAGCCUAGGUCGGAUUAGCUAGUUGGUGGGGUAAAGGCCUACCAAGGCGACGAUCCGUAACUGGUCUGAGAGGAUGAUCAGUCACCCUGGAACUUGGCCGCCGUCCUGGGUCCUACGGGAGGCCCCAGUCGGGUAUGUUGGACAGUGGUCGAAAGCCUGAUACAACCGUGCGGCGUGUGUGACGACGGUCUUCCGAUUGUAAAGCACUUUAAGUUGGGGGGAAGGGCAGUCAGUUAAUACCUUGCUGUUUUGACGUUACCAACAAAAUAAGCACCGGCUAACUUCGUG